rnacentral:rRNA from 1 species
GGCUUAUUGAAUAUAAUUUUAAGUCUAUCUGCCCAAUGAUGUAAAAAUUUAAUGGCUGCAGUAUAACUGACUGUACAAAGGUAGCAUAAUCAAUUGUUUUUUAAUUAAAAACUGGAAUGAAAGAAUUAAUGAGAUAUAUACUGUCUCAUAUAUAUAUUAUAAAAUUAAAUUUUUAGUAAAAAUGCUAAAAUUAAUUUAUGGGACGAUAAGACCCUAUAGAAUUUUAUAUUAAUAUUUCAAUUAUAAUUAAUUUUUAAUAUUAAUAUUUUAUUGGGAGGAUAAAUAAAUUUAAAUAACUUUAUUUUAAAUUAAAACUUUAAUUUAAGAAUAUUUUUUGAUCUUUUAUUAUAAAUUAAAAGAAUAAAUUACCUUAGGGAUAACAGCGUAAUAUCUUUUUAAAGAUCAUAUUAAUAAAGAUGAUUGCGACCUCGAUGUUGAAUUAAGAUAAAUUUUAAAUGGAGAAAUUUAAUAAUUAAGUCUGUUCGACUUUUAAUAUCUUACAUGAUUUGAGUUCAAAUCGACGUAAGU